AAAAACAUGUCCUUUUGUUUAUUUAUUUAAGGUCUGACCUGCCCAAUGAGGAAUUGAAUGGCCGCAGUAUUUUAACUGUGCUAAGGUAGCAUAAUCAUUUGUCUUUUAAUUGAGGGCUGGAAUGAAGGGUUGGACGAGGUAUUAACUUUCUUUGAUUUAAUGAGGAGAAUUUAAUUUUUGAGUUAAAAAGCUUAAAUUUAUUUGUGGGACGAGAAGACCCUAUAGAUCUUUAUAGUUUUAUAUUUUAAUAAUUUGGUGAUUUAUUUGUUUUAAGUAGAUGAACUAUUUUGUUGGGGUGACUGUAGAAUUUAAAUAACUUCUAUUAUUUUAUUUCAUUAAUUAAUGUUUUUGUGAUCCAUAUUUUAUGAUUAUAAGAUUAAGUUACCUUAGGGAUAACAGCGUAAUUUCCUCGGAGAGUUCAUAUUGAUGGGGGAG
rnacentral:rRNA from 1 species